rnacentral:rRNA from 1 species
AACAGGGAUUGCCUCAGUAACUGCGAGUGAAGCGGCAAAAGCUCAAAUUUGAAAUCUGGCGUCUUUGGCGUCCGAGUUGUAAUUUGGAGAGGCAUCUUCGGAGAUGGCGCUGUCCUAAGUUCCUUGGAACAGGACAUCACAGAGGGUGAGAAUCCCGUGCCUGGAUGGCUGUCCAUCUCCAUGUGAAGAGUCUUCGACGAGUCGAGUUGUUUGGGAAUGCAGCUCAAAAUGGGUGGUAAAUUUCAUCUAAAGCUAAAUAUUGGCGAGAGACCGAUAGCGCACAAGUAGAGUGAUCGAAAGAUGAAAAGCACUUUGAAAAGAGAGUUAAAAAGUACGUGAAAUUGUUGAAAGGGAAGCGCUUGAGACCAGACUCAAUCUUUGGUGAUCAGCUGUGCUUCUGCGCAGUGCACUUGCUAUUGAUUGGGCCAGCAUCGGUUCCGACGGUGGGAUAAAAGGCGGAGGAAUGUAGCUUCCUUCGGGGAGUGUUAUAGCCUCCGUCACAAUGCCAUCAGUUGGGACCGAGGACCGC